AAUUAAUUACCUUUUCAUUUAGACGAACCCUAGCGGCUUUUAUUUGUAUUUGCUCUCUAGCACAACUAGUCCCCAUUACCAAAUGCCUUUGUCUCUUUUUCACAGUAGCAGCCUCUGAACCCAUCACGCCCACUGGAGAAAUUGAGCUUCAACAGAGUAAUCUACACCCGUUUUUACUUAACCCAAAGGUUCCUGCUCAAAUUUCCCUAUUGGUUGACAAAUUCGACCCAGACCAAGGCUCUAAUUAGUUUCUUUCUUCCUUUAUUUCUGCUGAGGAAGCUUGAAGUCAGAGAGUUCAGAGAGAAACCAUCUCGAACUGUUCUGACCCAGACCAAGGCAGAGCUAUAUCUUCAACCAUCUCUCUACCCUCUAAGGAUCUGAACGCACAUUCAUUCUUCAGGUGUAGUUAUUGGCAAGUGAGAGAUUGCAUCAACAGAUCCCAAGGCGCUAUCGGAUGAUUAUGAUCCACUUGGUCCAGAUUGCUGGAGAGUUUGGCUAAAAUGAUGUCAUCAAGAGGGAUUGUCCUUUGUAUCGAGGAAACCUAUCUGGAAUGUAUUAGUUUCGUGAUGCUCACACAAGUACAGUUAUUUGGCCUAGAAAAUUUGUGAAAAUUCUAGAGGUGAUCAAUAAAUACCUUUUAUUUUUUUUAGAA